rnacentral:rRNA from 1 species
AUUGAACGCUGGCGGCAUGCUUUACACAUGCAAGUCGAACGGCAGCACGGGUGCUUGCACCUGGUGGCGAGUGGCGAACGGGUGAGUAAUGUAUCGGAACGUACCCGGCAAUGGGGGAUAACGUAGCGAGAGUUACGCUAAUACCGCAUAUGCCCGGAGGGGGAAAGUGGGGGAUCGCAAGACCUCACGUUGUCGUAGUGGCCGAUAUCAGAUUAGCUAGUUGGUGGGGUAAAGGCCUACCAAGGCGACGAUCUGUAGCUGGUCUGAGAGGACGACCAGCCACACUGGGACUGAGACACGGCCCAGACUCCUACGGGAGGCAGCAGUGGGGAAUUUUGGACAAUGGGGGCAACCCUGAUCCAGCCAUGCCGCGUGAGUGAAGAAGGCCUUCGGGUUGUAAAGCUCUUUCGGACAGAAAGAAAUCGCACUUGAUAAUACCUUGUGUGGAUGACGGUACUGUAAGAAGAAGCACCGGCUAACUACGUGCCAGCCGCCGCCGUAAUAC